rnacentral:miRNA from 1 species
UUGGGGAAUUCUGGGAGAUGU